rnacentral:pre_miRNA from 14 species
GAUUUCUAAAACCAUUUGUACCUGGUGUGAUUAUAAAGCAAUGAGACUGAUUGUCAUAUGUUGUUCAUGGGAUCCGUCUCAGUUACUUUAUAGCCAUACCUGGUACCUUGUACCACAGAUCAUUG